AGAGAUGUCAUGAUUUCAUCUACAUGAUGCUGAUUGGGCGUUUGCCUUCAGAACUCCUAACCUAUCUUCUAUCGAUAUCAACAGCUAAAGAUGAAGGAAUGUUUUCUAACGUUUGGCAUCAAAGUUCCCGCCGUUCAAAGACUAGCCAUCAAAAGAUUCGAAGGGAAGCUCUGUAUGUGCUUGGAUUACUUCACACAAAGUUUCAGGAGCACCAUGCUAAUGAUUUCAAUUGUAAAAAAUGAGCAAGAAAACUUGAUGAUCUUAUUCGAUGAUACCACAGUUUAUGUUGAGGAGAAACAUCCAUAAAACCAUUAUUGAAUAUUAUCGAUUGGAUUUCGUUUUAAAUCUUCAGGCAUUUUUCGCAAUUUGAGAUUUUGGAAAGAAGAUUAGAG